rnacentral:tRNA from 1 species
GCGCGGUUAGCUCAGUUGGUAGAGCGCCUCAUUGACGUUGAGGAUGCCGGGGGUUCAAGUCCCUCACCGCGCA